rnacentral:rRNA from 1 species
UACGUAGGGCGCAAGCGUUGUCCGGAAUUAUUGGGCGUAAAGAGCUCGUAGGCGGUUUGUCGCGUCGGCUGUGAAAAACUCGGGGCUCAACCCCCGAGCCUGCAGUCGAUACGGGCAGACUAGAGUGCUGUAGGGGAGACUGGAAUUCCUGGUGUAGCGGUGAAAUGCGCAGAUAUCAGGAGGAACACCAACGGCGAAGGCAGCACUCUGGGCCGGAGUAC